AUGAAUAUGGACGUGAAUAACACACCCCUGGAUGAAAUGAUGCUCAGCACACCGCUUAAAGAAAAAGCUCGGGAUCUUUUCUUUAUACUAAUGGAGCACGGCACACGGGUUGUCGUUUUCGCAGAAGUUGUUGAACAUUUUCUUUGAAGAAACCCAUCAUUUGCGCAAUUCCACCCUCUUUUCGCUAUUUUGUCAAUACAUACACCCACCUACCGGUUCCUUCUUCUUCUCCCGCCGCAGUAGGAGCUCCUCUUUGCCGGAAAACUUUUCUUCGCAUGGAAAACAGAAGAAUAAUCCGCCAUCAAGAACUAGACAAGGCGGAGAACGAAUGGAAUAAACUGGAAGGCGUCGGCGAAAAACAAGAGCAAACAGUAAGGCGUCUGGAAACAACGGCGAUGCUGCUGGUUUGCGGUUAUAUCUACCUUCAAAGCUUCAUAUUCCAUUCUGUUAGCCACAAUCCAAACUUGUCGUGCGAAUUCUGGUGGGCGCCCUUCACCCUCUCGUGUCUGAUUUGCGUCGUCUUCGCCAUCCCCUUCAAGAGUUUCGUCACGAAAUGGGAGCGUACGCAACGUUAUUUCGAGAUCAAUUUUCUUAAGCAAGACUUAGUUCACCUACAAAUUGUGAUUUUCUCCUCCUCGGAUGAUCGGCAGCUGGAGCAGCAGCAGCCGCCGCCGCAGCAGGAGAAAUUGAGGAGCGAUAGUGCGAAAACGUAUCAGAGGCGUGCGUUCAUCUGCCUGGUUUCUUAGCUCUUGUUGCGUACACAGUUGUUGUGUUAACGGCAUGUCGAUCGAUUCCCUGUCACAGAGUUGCUAUACUCUAGACAUACGAUUGGCACUCAUGUUUCCAUUCCUCCUCUCUCUUUACAAAAGGAGAAAAAGGGGAAGGUGUUAGAGGAGGAGUCUUGUCUAAGGAAAUAAUAUCUCGGAAUUAAUAUUGUAAUGUUAUUCUAAUUGUAUUCCUGAUUUGUAGUAUGUCAAGUACCUACGAUUGUAUAUGUAUGAGCCUUUGUGUUUGUUGAAUAAAUAUCAACAAUCAAUGAUAAAUUUAUAUAUGUUAAUAAA